GACGAACGCUGGCGGCGUGCUUAACACAUGCAAGUCGAGCGGAAAGGCCCUGCUUUUGUGGGGUGCUCGAGUGGCGUACGGGUGAGUAACACGUGAGUAACCUGCCCUUGACUUUGGGAUAACUUCAGGAAACUGGGGCUAAUACCGGAUAGGAGCUCCUGCUGCAUGGUGGGGGUUGGAAAGUUUCGGCGGUUGGGGAUGGACUCGCGGCUUAUCAGCUUGUUGGUGGGGUAGUGGCUUACCAAGGCUUUGACGGGUAGCCGGCCUGAGAGGGUGACCGGCCACAUUGGGACUGAGAUACGGCCCAGACUCCUACGGGAGGCAGCAGUGGGGAAUAUUGCACAAUGGGCGGAAGCCUGAUGCAGCAACGCCGCGUGCGGGAUGACGGCCUUCGGGUUGUAAACCGCUUUCGCCUGUGACGAAGCGUGAGUGACGGUAAUGGGUAAAGAAGCACCGGCUAACUACGUG
rnacentral:rRNA from 1 species